UCCGAUGAAGUGAGCUGUAGCUCACGAAAGCUUAUGCUCAAAUAAAUUUGUUAGUCUCUAAGGUGCCACAAGUACUCCUUUUCUUGUUGGAAGAUAGGAAGUAUUGGUCCUGAUUCUGAUUUCAUGUAUACCAUUGUUAACCACAAGUAACUCCACUAAACUGGUGAGAGAUCAGAAUCAGGUCCAUUGUUUCUCAAGAGCUCAGCCUGCUCCAAAAGCUACUGUAGGUAAUAGUAAAACCCUGUAGAAUUUCAAUAAGUAUUACAAUGAAGAUGCAAGACUAUAGUACAUGAUUGCCAAAAAUCAGGACAUGAA